GUGUCAGCCGCCGCGGUAAUACGUAGGUGGCGAGCGUUGUCCGGAAUCAUUGGGCGUAAAGCGCGCGUAGGCGGCUUGUCAGGUCUGAUGUGAAACCUUGGGGCUUAACUCCAAGCGUGCAUCGGAAACCGGCUUGCUAGAGUCUGGGAGAGGGAAGUGGAAUUCCUGGUGUAGCGGUGAAAUGCGUAGAUAUCAGGAGGAACACCAGUUGCGAAGGCGGCUUCCUGGAACAGUACUGACGCUGAGGCGCGAAAGCUAGGGGAGCGAACAGGAUUAGAAACCCUAGUAGUCC
rnacentral:rRNA from 1 species